rnacentral:rRNA from 1 species
AUAGAUCCUGAAACCGCAUGCUUACAAAAAGUAGGAGCCUCGAAAGGGGUGACUGCGUACCUUUUGUAUAAUGGGUCAGCGACUUACAUUCAGUGGCAAGGUUAACCGAAUAGGGAAGCCGUAGAGAAAUCGAGUCCGAAUAGGGCGAUCAGUCGCUGGGUGUAGACCCGAAACCAAGUGAUCUAUCCAUGGGCAGGAUGAAGGUGCCGUAACAGGUACUGGAGGUCCGAACCGACUAAUGUUGCAAAAUUAGCGGAUGACCUGUGGAUAGGGGUGAAAGGCUAAACAAACUUGGAAAUAGCUGGUUCUCUCCGAAAACUAUUUAGGUAGUGCCUCAAGUAUUACCAUCGGGGGUAGAGCACUGUUUUGGCUAGGGGGUCAUGGCGACUUACCAAACCAAGGCAAACUCCGAAUACCGAUGAGUACAGCUUGGGAGACAGAGCACCGGGUGCUAACGUCCGGACUCAAGAGGGAAACAACCCAGACCGCCAGCUAAGGUCCCUAAAAUUGGCUAAGUGGGAAACGAAGUGGGAAGGCUAAAACAGUCAGGAUGUUGGCUUAGAAGCAGCCAUCAUUUAAAGAAAGCGUAAUAGCUCACUGAUCGAGUCGUCCUGCGCGGAAGAUGUAACGGGGCUAAGCCAGUUACCGAAGCUGCGGAUUUGCAAUUUAUUGCAAGUGGUAGGAGAGCGUUCUGUAGGCCUGUGAAGGUGGUGGUGUAAACCCUGCUGGAGGUAUCAGAAGUGCGAAUGCUGACAUGAGUAGCGUUAAAGGGGGUGAAAAGCCCCCUCGCCGUAAGCGCAAGGUUUUCUACGCAACGUUCAUCGGCGUAGAGUGAGUCGGCCCCUAAGGCGAGGCAGAGAUGCGUAGCUGAUGGGAAACAGGUCAAUAUUCCUGUACCGAUGACAAGUGCGAUGUGGGGACGGAGAAGGUUAGCUCAGCCAACUGUUGGAUAUGUUGGUUCAAGCCUGUAGUCGUGCUCGGUAGGCAAAUCCGCCGGGCUUAGAUGAGGGGUGAUAACGAGGGUGCUUGCACCUGAAGUGAGUGAUACCCUGCUUCCAGGAAAAGCCACUAAGCUUCAGCUUGUCAUUGACCGUACCGCAAACCGACACUGGUGCGCGAGAUGAGUAUUCUAAGGCGCUUGAGAGAACUCAGGAGAAGGAACUCGGCAAAUUGAUACCGUAACUUCGGGAGAAGGUAUGCCCCUAUUAGGUGAACUUGAACAAAGGGAGCCGAACGGGGUUGCAAAAAAUCGGUGGCUGCGACUGUUUAAUAAAAACACAGCACUCUGCAAACACGAAAGUGGACGUAUAGGGUGUGACGCCUGCCCGGUGCUGGAAGAUUAAAUGAUGGGGUGCAAGCUCUUGAUUGAAGUCCCAGUAAACGGCGGCCGUAACUAUAACGGUCCUAAGGUAGCGAAAUUCCUUGUCGGGUAAGUUCCGACCUGCACGAAUGGCGUAACGAUGGCCACACUGUCUCCUCCUGAGACUCAGCGAAGUUGAAAUGUUUGUGAUGAUGCAAUCUCCCCGCGGAAAGACGGAAAGACCCCAUGAACCUUUACUGUAGCUUUGUAUUGGACUUUGAACAGAUCUGUGUAGGAUAGGUGGGAGGCUUUGAAGCGAGGUCGCUAGAUCUUGUGGAGCCAACGUUGAAAUACCACCCUGGUGUGUUUGAGGUUCUAACCUAGGUCCAUUAUCUGGAUCGGGGACAGUGCAUGGUAGGCAGUUUGACUGGGGCGGUCUCCUCCCAAAGCGUAACGGAGGAGUUCGAAGGUACGCUAGUUACGGUCGGACAUCGUGAUGAUAGUGCAAUGGCAUAAGCGUGCUUAACUGCGAGACUGACAAGUCGAGCAGAUACGAAAGUAGGACAUAGUGAUCCGGUGGUUCUGUAUGGAAGGGCCAUCGCUCAACGGAUAAAAGGUACUCUGGGGAUAACAGGCUGAUACCGCCCAAGAGUUCAUAUCGACGGCGGUGUUUGGCACCUCGAUGUCGGCUCAUCUCAUCCUGGGGCUGUAGCCGGUCCCAAGGGUAUGGCUGUUCGCCAUUUAAAGAGGUACGUGAGCUGGGUUUAAAACGUCGUGAGACAGUUUGGUCCCUAUCUUCCGUGGGCGCUG